rnacentral:rRNA from 1 species
GUCUACGGCCAUACCACGUUGAAAACACCAGUUCUCGUCCGAUCACUGAAGUUAAGCAACGUCGGGCUCGGUUAGUACUUGGAUGGGUGACCGCCUGGGAACACCGAGUGCUGUAGACGCCC